rnacentral:ncRNA from 1 species
ACGUCCCGCCUCGUGAUCGUCUUCUCACCCUUCACGCGGGCGGGCGGCAGGGCGGAGACCCCCGUGAGGACCUGACUCACGGGGGUUUUCC